rnacentral:rRNA from 1 species
AGUGAACGCUGGCGGCAGGCCUAACACACGCAAGUCGAACGGCAGCACAGGAGAGCUUGCUCUCUGGGUGGCGAGUGGCGGACGGGUGAGGAAUAUAUCGGAAUCUACCCUUUCGUGGGGGAUAACGUAGGGAAACUUACGCUAAUACCGCAUACGAACUGAGGUUGAAAGCGGCGGACCGCAAGGCGUCGCGCGGAUGGAUGAGCCGAUAUCCGAUUAGCUAGUUGGCGGGGUAAAGCCCACCAAGGCGACGAUCGCUAGCUGGUCUGAGAGGAUGAUCAGCCACACUGGACCUGAGACACGGUCCAGACUCCUACGGGAGGCAGCAGUGGGGAAUAUUGGACAAUGGGCGCAAGCCUGAUCCAGCCAUGCCGCGUGUGUGAAGAAGGCCUUCGGGUUGUAAAGCACUUUUGUUGGGAAAGAAAAGCGGUCGGUUAAUACCCGGUCGUUCUGACGGUACCCAAAGAAUAAGCACCGGCUAACUUCGUGCCAGCAGCCGCCGUAA